rnacentral:rRNA from 1 species
GUAGGGGGCGAGCGUUGUCCGGAUUUACUGGGCGUAAAGAGCUCGUAGGCGGUUUGGUAAGUCGGAUGUGAAAUCUCCAGGCUCAACCUGGAGCAGCCAUUCGAUACUGCCAUGACUAGAGUUCGGUAGAGGAGUGUGGAAUUCCCGGUGUAGCGGUGAAAUGCGCAGAUAUCGGGAGGAACACCCGUAGCGAAGGCGGCACUCUGGGCCGAUACUGACGCUGAGGAGCGAAAGCGUGGGGAGCGAACAGGAUUAGAUACCCUGGUAGUCCACGCCGUAAACGUUGGGCACUAGGUGUGGGGCUCUAUCGACGGGUUCCGUGCCGUAGCUAACGCAUUAAGUGCCCCGCCUGGGGAGUACGGCCGCAAGGCUA